AACGAACGCUGGCGGCAGGCCUAACACAUGCAAGUCGAACGCUUCAGCAAUGAAGGGUGGCAGACGGGUGAGUAACGCGUGGGAACCUUCCCAGUGGUACGGAAUAGCCCAGGGAAACUUGGGGUAAUACCGUAUAAGCCCUUCGGGGGAAAGAUUUAUCGCCAUUGGAUGGGCCCGCGUCGGGUUAGCUUGUUGGUGAGGUAAAAGCUCACCAAGGCGACGAUCCGUAGCUGGUCUGAGAGGAUGAUCAGCCACACUGGGACUGAGACACGGCCCAGACUCCUACGGGAGGCAGCAGUGGGGAAUAUUGGACAAUGGGCGCAAGCCUGAUCCAGCCAUGCCGCGUGAGUGACGAAGGCCUUAGGGUUGUAAAGCUCUUUUGGCGGGGACGAUAAUGACGGUACCCGCAGAAUAAGCUCCGGCUAACUUCGUG
rnacentral:rRNA from 1 species